UGCAAGUCGAGCGGAAAGGCCCUUCGGGGUACUCGAGCGGCGAACGGGUGAGUAACACGUGAGCAACCUGCCCCAGGCUUUGGGAUAACCCCGGGAAACCGGGGCUAAUACCGAAUAUGACCUCUGACCGCAUGGUUGGUGGUGGAAAGUUUUUCGGCUUGGGAUGGGCUCGCGGCCUAUCAGCUUGUUGGUGGGGUGAUGGCCUACCAAGGCGACGACGGGUAGCCGGCCUGAGAGGGCGACCGGCCACACUGGGACUGAGACACGGCCCAGACUCCUACGGGAGGCAGCAGUGGGGAAUAUUGCACAAUGGGCGGAAGCCUGAUGCAGCGACGCCGCGUGAGGGAUGACGGCCUUCGGGUUGUAAACCUCUUUCAGCAGGGACGAAGCGUAAGUGACGGUACCUGCAGAAGAAGCGCCGGCCAACUACGUGCCAGCAGCCGCGGUAAGACGUAGGGCGCGAGCGUUGUCCGGAUUUAUUGGGCGUAAAGAGCUCGUAGGCGGCUUGUCGCGUCGACCGUGAAAACUUGGGGCUCAACCCCAAGCCUGCGGUCGAUACGGGCAGGCUAGAGUUCGGUAGGGGAGACUGGAAUUCCUGGUGUAGCGGUGAAAUGCGCAGAUAUCAGGAGGAACACCGGUGGCGAAGGCGGGUCUCUGGGCCGAUACUGACGCUGAGGAGCGAAAGCGUGGGGAGCGAACAGGAUUAGAUACCCUGGUAGUCCACGCUG
rnacentral:rRNA from 1 species